UGAUUAAUGCCAAAGCCCUGUUGCCUGGGGAGAGGGUGAUGUUUGACUUUCUUGUACAGCUGCAGUUUGUGUGGUGAAGGUGCUCCCACAAUGUGGUUGGAUCCCAGUGAUUAAUGCCAAAGCCCCAUUGCCUGGGGAGAGGGUGAUGUUUGACUUCCUGUACAGCUGCAGUUUGUGUGGUGAAGGUGCUCCCACAAUGUGGUUGGGUGGACAUUCAGAUGGUAACCUCAGUCAUUGUAACACCAAACUCUGACAGAAUUACUCAAUUCAUCAGGACCUGGAUAUUUGCA